UCCCUGGUGGCUCAGAGGGUAAAGCGUCUGUCUACAAUGCAGGAGACCCAGGUUCGAGCCCUGGGUUGGGAA
rnacentral:tRNA from 1 species